GACGAACUCUGGCGGCGUGCUUAACACAUGCAAGUCGAACGGUAAGGCUCCAGCUUGCUGGGGUACACGAGUGGCGAACGGGUGAGUAACACGUGGGUGACCUGCCCUGCACUUCGGGAUAAGCCUGGGAAACUGGGUCUAAUACCGGAUAGGACCGCACCGUGAGGGUGUGGUGGAAAGUUUUUUCGGUGUGGGAUGGGCCCGCGGCCUAUCAGCUUGUUGGUGGGGUAAUGGCCUACCAAGGCGGCGACGGGUAGCCGGCCUGAGAGGGUGGACGGCCACAUUGGGACUGAGACACGGCCCAGACUCCUACGGGAGGCAGCAGUGGGGAAUAUUGCACAAUGGGCGGAAGCCUGAUGCAGCGACGCCGCGUGGGGGAUGACGGCCUUCGGGUUGUAAACUCCUUUCACCAUCGACGAAGGGUUUCUGACGGUAGAUGGAGAAGAAGCACCGGCUAACUACGUGCCAGCAGCCGCGGUAAUACGUAGGGUGCGAGCGUUGUCCGGAAUUACUGGGCGUAAAGAGCUCGUAGGUGGUUUGUCGCGUCGUCUGUGAAAUUCCGGGGCUUAACUCCGGGCGUGCAGGCGAUACGGGCAUAACUUGAGUACUGUAGGGGAGACUGGAAUUCCUGGUGUAGCGGUGAAAUGCGCAGAUAUCAGGAGGAACACCGGUGGCGAAGGCGGGUCUCUGGGCAGUAACUGGCGCUGAGGAGCGAAAGCAUGGGGAGCGAACAGGAUUAGAUACCCUGGUAGUCCAUGCCGUAAACGGUGGGCGCUAGGUGUGGGUUUCCUUCCACGGGAUCCGUGCCGUAGCUAACGCAUUAAGCGCCCCGCCUGGGGAGUACGGCCGCAAGGCUAAAACUCAAAGGAAUUGACGGGGGCCCGCACAAGCGGCGGAGCAUGUGGAUUAAUUCGAUGCAACGCGAAGAACCUUACCUGGGCUUGACAUAUACAGGAUCGCGCCAGAGAUGGUGUUUCCCUUGUGGCUUGUAUACAGGUGGUGCAUGGUUGUCGUCAGCUCGUGUCGUGAGAUGUUGGGUUAAGUCCCGCAACGAGCGCAACCCUUGUCUUAUGUUGCCAGCACGUUGUGGUGGGGACUCGUAAGAAACUGCCGGGGUUAACUCGGAGGAAGGUGGGGAUGACGUCAAAUCAUCAUGCCCCUUAUGUCCAGGGCUUCACACAUGCUACAAUGGUCGGUACAGUGGGUUGCCAGUCCGUGAGGGCGAGCUAAUCCCGCAAAGCCGGUCUCAGUUCGGAUCGGGGUCUGCAACUCGACCCCGUGAAGUCGGAGUCGCUAGUAAUCGCAGAUCAGCAACGCUGCGGUGAAUACGUUCCCGGGCCU
rnacentral:rRNA from 1 species